rnacentral:lncRNA from 1 species
CGCCGCCCGGCGUCCACACGCGCCGCGCGCGGGAGCCGUCCGCGGCCGGUGUGGGAGGUGCCGCAGGGUCAGCCCACGUUCGUCGCGGACCCGGCGCCCAGCGGGUCGUCCGUGCCCCUGCUUCGGGGGUGGAAAGGAGGCGCCCGGGGCAGUAAGCGCGGUGGCGCGGGGCUUGGUCGUGCCGCCCCGAUCGAUUGGGGAAGGCGGAGGUCAAGUUCCACCUGCCCCCGCGCGCGCGGAAAUCCAGCUGGAAUUGCAGGGGAGCGCUCUGGAGGGGGCUCCGGGUACCGCAGAGAAGGGUGCAGAGGCCCCCCGCAUGCUUGCGCUCCUGGAACCUGCAUUACAGACUUGGCAUAGGUGGCCACGACUACAGGAAACGGGGAAAACAGGCUCGAGAGAGACUGGCCGCCACGGUGGUGUUGGGUCUUUCUGUAGAGUAUCUGUGGGCAUGAAUUCAGCCGUUCCCCCACCUCCCGGGCUCGAGUCUGGACCGGAGCUGAGUGCCGUGGGGUAUCCGUGGUUAGAGCCAGGACUCAGGGUCCCUGAAACUGCUGGGGGGCGUGCCAUACCAGUGAGGCUAGGGUGGGGUAGAGGGGCAGGGCAGGAGUGCCAGCGUGUGGUCAGAGUCCAGCUUUGGGAAGGUCACUGCGGCUGUGGUGAGGACAGUGGGCUAGUGGCGUGGAAAUGUGCCACUCGAAUGCCCUUUCAAGGAGGGUCUUCCUGACCAGCCUCCAGCUGCCAGCUCCUGCAGGGUCUGCCUCAGCUGCAGAGAGCCACCUCACUACUGAUCUCGCCCUUCCCUGGGACAGUCACAUCCAUGACUGAAGGCAUGGAGUACCAAGACCUGGUCAGUUCUGCCAGUGCCGGACUCGGGUAGGCAGCACUCAAUUCAGGGAAGCUGGCACGUCAGACUUCCCCGCCUCAACCAGCCACAAGCUUCAGCUGCUUCCCAUCACAGCAUCAGAGCUGGGACUGCCCAGGGCAUGCCAGGUCCUGGAGGAGGCCCUGCCCAGUGUCCCAGCUGAAAGGGAUUGGGAAUUGUUGACAAUUCCAUUCCAGAACUAAAUGGUGAGGUCCUGCUGCGUGCUGCACUUCGGCAUCCUGCACAACCAGAAGAGACAUCCUUUUCCCAGCAGCCUCUGCCAGGAUGUACCUCAGCCCACUGGGAGCCCUGGAAGGUGUCUAGCUGGGCGGUGGCCCAUUCAUAUUUGCAUUUGGCUAUCCUCAGGCUGUGGCGAGAAUAGGUGCCCUCUCUGGGCCCUUGGAUCCCUCUGGGGCACAAGCCUGAAGACUGGCUGCCUCCCCAGUGCCUUUUAAGCCCCUGCAGUACAGGAAAUACCACCAUAUCUCACUUGAGUUCAGAGAUUUGGAGUUGAGUCUUCUCUUCUGAAAAAAAACUCUACAUCGAGAAUAGUGCAAUCAAUUUGUAAAUUUAUUCAAAACAUGCAAGUGUGUGUUUGGAUUUUCUUGAAAAAAGUUAUUCGGGGCUGGCUGGUCUUUUCUCGCCCAGUGCAGGCCUCCCUGGGCCCAGGCCGGCUGUCUCACAGAGGGUCUGAGCCCUUGUCAGCCAGCCUGGGCAGGUGGACAGCCCCCACCACACACACACCAGGGGACUGGCCCCGUGGAGAGCGUAUUCCCCAGGACCUGUCACCCUCCGUCAGUGGAAGAAGAAAGACACUCCACAUGACUGCAGGAAGCCCCAACAGGAGUGGGGAGGAUGUCCAGCUUUGCCUCUCCAGCCCAGCCCUCUCCCCAGAGCUCCCAGUCUGUGAAGCUGACUGCCCACUGGACUUGACCCUUGGACAGCCACAGGUACCCACCCUGGGCAGAUACCGAACUGAACUUCCCCCUUCUCUUCCCCUCCCAUGGCAGGUCUUAGUUGGAAUCCUACUUUCUCCAGAAGUUCCCUCCGAAGGCUCUUGGGGAGAAUCUUUCCUUGCCUCCCUUGCCCCUUCCAGCUUCUGGUGGCCAGCAGUCCUCGCCUUUCUUUGGCUCGUGUCAGCAUCACUCCACUCCCAGGCUCCAUCUUCACGUGGCCUUCUCCCGUGUCUCCACCUGUCUCUGUUUUCUCUUAGAAGGAUACCAGUCGUUGGGUUGGCGCCCACCUAAUGACCUCAUCUUAACUGCAUUACAUCUGCAAAGACCCUUUUCCAAAUAAGGUCUCAUUCACAGACACAGGCGUUAGGAUUUGAACAUAUAUUUUGGGGGGACACAACUCAGC